GUUGUCUUAGCUCAGCUGGUAGAUCGCAUGGCUUUUAACCAUGUGGUUGUGGGUUCGAUUCCCAUAGACAGCG